rnacentral:rRNA from 1 species
GCCUGAUCCAGCCAUGCCGCGUGGGUGAAGAAGGCCUUCGGGUUGUAAAGCCCUUUUGUUGGGAAAGAAAAGCAGUCGAUUAAUACUCGGUUGUUCUGACGGUACCCAAAGAAUAAGCACCGGCUAACUUCGUGCCAGCAGCCGCGGUAAUACGAAGGGUGCAAGCGUUACUCGGAAUUACUGGGCGUAAAGCGUGCGUAGGUGGUUGUUUAAGUCUGUUGUGAAAGCCCUGGGCUCAACCUGGGAAUUGCAGUGGAUACUGGGCGACUAGAGUGUGGUAGAGGGUAGUGGAAUUCCCGGUGUAGCAGUGAAAUGCGUAAAGAUCGGGAGGAACAUCCAUGGCGAAGGCAGCUACCUGGACCAACACUGACACUGAGGCACGAAAGCGUGGGGAGCAAACAGGAUUAGAUACCCUGGUAGUCCACGCCCUAAACGAUGCGAACUGGAUGUUGGGUGCAAUUUGGCACGCAGUAUCGAAGCUAACGCGUUAAGUUCGCCGCCUGGGGAGUACGGUCGCAAGACUGAAACUCAAAGGAAUUGACGGGGGCCCGCACAAGCGGUGGAGUAUGUGGUUUAAUUCGAUGCAACGCGAAGAACCUUACCUGGUCUUGACAUGUCGAGAACUUUCCAGAGAUG